UACAGAGGGGGCAAGCGUUGUUCGGAAUUACUGGGCGUAAAGGGCGCGUAGGCGGCCUUCUAAGUCGAACGUGAAAUCCCCGGGCUCAACCCAGGAACUGCGUCCGAUACUGGUUGGCUUGAAUCCGGGAGAGGGAUGCGGAAUUCCAGGUGUAGCGGUGAAAUGCGUAGAUAUCUGGAGGAAUACCGGUGGCGAAGGCGGCGAUCCUGGACCGAGAUUGACACUGAUGAGCGAAAAGCUAGGGGAGCAAAACGGG
rnacentral:rRNA from 1 species